rnacentral:rRNA from 1 species
UACGUAGGGUGCGAGCGUUAAUCGGAAUUACUGGGCGUAAAGCGUGCGCAGGCGGUUCGUUGUGUCGGCGGUGAAAGCCCCGGGCUUAACCUGGGAACUGCGCUUGUGACUGCAAGACUCGAGUACGGCAGAGGGGGGUGGAAUUCCACGUGUAGCAGUGAAAUGCGUAGAGAUGUGGAGGAACACCGAUGGCGAAGGCAGCCCCCUGGGUCGAUACUGACGCUCAUGCACGAAAGCGUGGGGAGCAAACAGG